rnacentral:rRNA from 1 species
AAGGGAAUCUUCCACAAUGGACGAAAGUCUGAUGGAGCAACGCCGCGUGAGUGAAGAAGGUUUUCGGAUCGUAAAGCUCUGUUGUUGGUGAAGAAGGAUAGAGGUAGUAACUGGCCUUUAUUUGACGGUAAUCAACCAGAAAGUCACGGCUAACUACGGGCCAGCAGCCGCGGUAAUACAAAA